CACUCUACCGGCGUGUUCAUGCCCAACACAAACUACUAUAUCGGUCUCCGAACAUCAAAAUCAUAUGUUACCGCGUAACACCCUAGCACUCGUCUCCCCAAAUUUCCCUUCACGACCAGCUACCUAAUUCAAUUCUCUCCAUUACUCCUACUGACAGCACCAUCAACAACUUCUCCUUCUUCAUCUUUCAUCAAUUAAUCUCCCCCCAUAACCACUCACAGAUCAUCUAUCUCUCUCUCUUCCAAUCACAUCGUUAAUAGUAAAGCUAGUCAAAACUAGGUUUGCGAGAGCUAUAUGUAGCUGCUACACCAUCAGAAGAGGAGACACGCAUUUAGUUGACGUUGCACGUAGUAUGAAUAACGGGGAAAUGACAGAGAAACAUUUAUGGUCGCGAAAUCGUCGUUGAGUGUACACGAGCCACUUACAGGUAGAGAGAAAAGCUUAAAGGAUUGGCGGGGCAGAAAAUGCUAAACGUGGGACUGAUGUAAAGGAAAAAAAACUCGAACGGGACUGGGAAAAAAGGAGAGAAAAGCGAUGUGGCGCCCAUCCGUGCUUCACACCAAAACAAACCCCUGCUAAUCCACGGUCCCAGGGGAUGCCACCUACUUUCCCGCAUAUGUCCAGCGUUUUUUGUCCCGCGUCUAGUGCCUCCGGUUGGGGAGAUUGUUUUCACUUUCUUUAGCAUACAUCCUAGUAUUAAUCUUUGAGCGCAAACUAAAUUAUUCGCAGAUACUCGCCUCAUCUACUCUCUAAGCUUGAGGGACUGUCUUAAUCAGUCUCCCCAACCUGCUGUGGUGAACACUAAUAAGGUACUCACUCUUCUUUAUAAUUUAUAAUUGUUAGAGUACUGCUCAGUCGAACUCGCAAGUGUUGCUAUCUCAAGCUUUUUUGUCAAGUUUAGUUGUCAAAAUUAUAAGUCUUGAUUUCUAGCUACGUCUCGGAUUAGGAUAGAAUGUGUAAUUAAGCUUUAGACUUCAUGGCGUUCAUCGAUUGAAGACGAAGAACUACUAAGGGGAACUUGUGGAACUUCAUCUACAAAAGAUAUGUGGAGACGUGAACUCAUCUAUCACUCAGAAGUUUAUUUCUAUUCUAUCUCCGACUGAGACAAAAGCCAUAUGGCUAUGUAGACUUUACUUUAUACACAUUUGAUAUUUCGAGAUGAGUUUAACUCGCUUACAUAUUUAUAGAAAUAUGUGUUGGUAA